rnacentral:rRNA from 1 species
CCGUUGCGGGUCUUACCAUGCAGUCGACGAGAUCCAUGGUGUAGCAAUACACCGGAAGAUCUAGUGGCGAACGGGUGAGGAACACGUGGGAAACCUGCCCCAGACUUUGGGAUAACAAGUGGAAACGCUUGCUAAUACCGAAUGACGUCGGAGAACCGCAUGGUUCACUGACGAAAGGAAUUCCGGUUUGGGAGGGUCUCGCGGCCUAUCAGCUUGUUGGUGGGGUAAUGGCCUACCAAGGCAACGACAGGUAGCUGGUCUGAGAGGAUGAUCAGCCACACUGGGACUGAGACACGGCCCAGACUCCUACGGGAGGCAGCAGUGGGGAAUCUUGCGCAAUGGGCGAAAGCCUGACGCAGCAACGCCGCGUGCGGGAUGAAGGCCUUCGGGCUGUAAACCGCUUUCAGCAGGAACGAAAAUGACGGUACCUGCAGAAGAAGGAGCGGCCAACUACGUGCCAGCAGCCGCGGUGACACGUAGGCUCCAAGCGUUGUCCGGAUUUAUUGGGCGUAAAGAGCUCGUAGGCGGUUGAGUAAGUCGGGUGUGAAAACUCUGGGCUUAACCCGGAGACGCCAUCCGAUACUGCUCUGACUUGAGUUCAGGAGGGGAGUGGGGAAUUCCUAGUGUAGCGGUGAAAUGCGCAGAUAUUAGGAGGAACACCGGUGGCGAAGGCGCCACUCUGGACUGAAACUGACGCUGAGGAGCGAAAGCAUGGGUAGCAAACAGGAUUAGAUACCCUGGUAGUCCAUGCCGUAAACGGUGGGCACUAGGUGUGGGUUCCAACUAACGGGAUCCGCGCCGUCGCUAACGCAUUAAGUGCCCCGCCUGGGGAGUACGGUCGCAAGACUAAAACUCAAAGGAAUUGACGG